UCGAGUGUCAGAUGCUCAAUGGACUGAGCCACCCAGAUGCCCUAGCACAUCUUUUCUAUAGGAAUUCCGGGUUCUUCACUGCCCGCAGGUUGACCAUAAAUGCUUCCCAGUCUGUUUGCCACAUCCAGGGAAUAAAUAACACUCACAGGACCGGAGUAUAGACGCUCUAAUCUUGGACCCAACUCUGGAACAGAGAAGGAGGGUAAGAGUCUGGGAGCAUGGAAAGAGAAAGUUCCUUCUCUUGGGAGGAAGCCACGGCAGACAGCAUACCUUCUUGCCGUGACAGGUAUGCAGGACUCCAGAGAAAUCUAUUCCAACAGGGUUGAUGUUAGGAAACCCACGGACCUGUACAUCGAAGCCAUGUUCUCCAAUAUUAUUAACUUUCUUAGUAAUAAAAGUCAUUUUGUAGAACCUA